rnacentral:rRNA from 1 species
CCUUCAUGAAGCCGGAAUUGCUAGUAAUGGCAGGUCAGCAUACUGCCGUGAAUACGUUCCCGGGCCUUGUACACACCGCCCGUCACACCAUGAGAGUUGGGGAUACCCGAAGCCUGUGAGCCAACUGUAAAGAGGCAGCAGUCGAAGGUAGAAUCAAUGAUUGGGGUGAAGUCGUAACAAGGUAUC